GCUUACGGCCAUACCAACCUGGCUAUGCCCGAUCUCGUCUGAUCUCGGAAGCUAAGCAGGUUUGGGCCUGGUUAGUACUUGGAUGGGAAGACCGCCUGGGAAUACCGGGUGCUGUAAGCU
rnacentral:rRNA from 1 species